UCUGUGCGUAUGUGCCACAGCCCUGUGUUUGCCAACAUCUUCACUCACAGGCAAUACAAAGAUUGAUGUGGAUAAUGGAAAAGACCAGGAUAUAUUUGAAAUAAAUGAAGCGGCAGGACUUGACCUGGUGGAAGGAGACAUUCUGAUAAAUGAGG